rnacentral:rRNA from 1 species
AAACUAACAAGGAUUCCCCUAGUAACGGCGAGCGAAGCGGGAAGAGCUCAAAUUUGAAAUCUGGUGGCCUCAGGUCAUCCGAGUUGUAAUCUAUAGAAGUGUUUUCCGUGCUGGCCCAUGUACAAGUCCCUUGGAACAGGGCGUCAUAGAGGGUGAGAAUCCCGUCCUUGACAUGGACUACCAGUGCUCUGUGAUACACUUUCAACGAGUCGAGUUGUUUGGGAAUGCAGCUCAAAAUGGGUGGUAAAUUCCAUCUAAAGCUAAAUAUUGGCGAGAGACCGAUAGCGAACAAGUACCGUGAGGGAAAGAUGAAAAGCACUUUGGAAAGAGAGUUAAACAGUAUGUGAAAUUGUUGAAAGGGAAACGAUUGAAGUCAGUCGUGCUCAAUGGACUCAGCCGUUCUGCGGUGUAUUUCCAUUGGGUGGGGUCAACAUCAGUUUUGAUCGCUGGAUAAAGGCAGGAGGAAUGUAGCACCCCCGGGUGAACUUAUAGCCUCUUGUCACAUACAGUGGUUGGGACUGAGGAACGCAGCAUGCCUUUAUGGCCGGGAUUCGUCCACGUACAUGCUUAGGAUGUUGACAUAAUGGCUUUAAACGAC